rnacentral:rRNA from 1 species
UGGGGAAUAUUGCACAAUGGGCGAAAGCCUGAUGCAGCAACGCCGCGUGAGGGACGACGGCCUUCGGGUUGUAAACCUCUUUUAGCAAGGAAGAAGCGAAAGUGACGGUACUUGCAGAAAAAGCGCCGGCUAACUACGUGCCAGCAGCCGCGGUAAUACGUAGGGCGCAAGCGUUAUCCGGAAUUAUUGGGCGUAAAGAGCUCGUAGGCGGUUUGUCGCGUCUGCUGUGAAAACCCGAGGCUCAACCUCGGGCCUGCAGUGGGUACGGGCAGACUAGAGUGCGGUAGGGGAGAUUGGAACUCCUGGUGUAGCGGUGGAAUGCGCAGAUAUCAGGAAGAACACCGAUGG